rnacentral:sRNA from 1 species
AUUCCUAGUGGCCAUAUGUACUCGUGUGGCCACAUAUUUGCGACAGGUGAAAUCUGUGACCAUGUUUGGUUGAUCUCUUGUAGCAAUGUCUAUGUUUCUUAUCAAUGUGUUGUUGACCAGUGGUAAAUUUUCUAGGUGGAGGUGUUGGGUUCGAGACACGUUAGUAAUGAUCUCUUCUUUAAUCUGAUGUGGAUUUUGCCUCAGAGAGAUGUAGAGCUUUUGGGUCUGAAAUUCUAGAUAUUAAAAAAAAAACAUUUUUUUUUACUUUCUAAAUCUCUUGUUUCAUUUAU